UUAGCUCUCUUUGCCUUUUGGCUUAGAUCAAGUGUAGUAUCUGUUCUUUUCAGUUUAAUCUCUGAAAGGUCUCCAAGGAGACCAACAUUGAUUAUUCCUAUUUUUGGAUUCCGGGCAAUUUCCUCUGUGCUUGCACAUGAUUUUGCCCACUGUGUCCCUAGUAUUACACUGCCUCUAGGUGACGCGAACGCGC
rnacentral:snRNA from 13 species